AAUGUCUAAGAUUAGCCAUGCAUGUCUCAGUAUAAGCUUCUAUACGGCGAAACUGCGAAUGGCUCAUUAAAACAGUUAUAGUUUAUUUGGUGGUCAGCAAUUACAUGGAUAACCGUGGUAAUUCUAGAGCUAAUACAUGCGCCCAAACCCGACUUCGUGGAAGGGUUGUGUUUAUUAGAUACAGAACCAACCCAGGCUCCGCCUGGCCUUGAGGUGAUUCAUAAUAACCGAACGAAUCGCAUGGCUAUGCCGGCGAUAGACCAUUCAAGAUUCUGACCUAUCAGCUAUUGUCGGUAGGGUAUUGGCCUACCGUGGCAAUGACGGGUAACGGAGAAUUAGGGUUCGAUUCCGGAGAGGGAGCCUGAGAAACGGCUACCACAUCUAAGGAAGGCAGCAGGCGCGCAAAUUACCCAAUCCUGACGCAGGGAGGUAGUGACAAGAAAUAACAAUACAGGGCAUACAUGUCUUGUAAUUGGAAUGAGUAAACUUUAAAUCACUUU
rnacentral:rRNA from 1 species